GAAGCAUUAGUAUAAUCGUACUACAUUACCUUGUCGAGGUAAAACUGUAGGUUCAAUUCCUACAUGCCUCA
rnacentral:tRNA from 1 species